rnacentral:rRNA from 1 species
CCUACGGGAGACAGCAGUGGGGAAUAUUGCGCAAUGGGCGAAAGCCUGACGCAGCGACGCCGCGUGAGGGAUGAAGGUCUUCGGAUCGUAAACCUCUGUCAGCAGGGAAGAACGGUCACUGUGCUAAUCAGCAGUGAAUUGACGGUACCUGCAAAGGAAGCACCGGCUAACUCCGUGCCAGCAGCCGCGGUAAUACGGAGGGUGCGAGCGUUAAUCGGAAUUACUGGGCGUAAAGCGCUCGUAGGCGGUAUGUCAAGUCAAGGGGGAAAUCCCCGCGCUCAACGUGGGAACUGCCUUUGAAACUGGUAAACUGGAGUGUGUGAGAGGAUAGUGGAAGUCCAGGUGUAGGAGUGAAAUCCGUAGAUAUCUGGAGGAACAUCAGUGGCGAAGGCGACUAUCUGGCACAUAACUGACGCUGAGGAGCGAAAGCGUGGGUAGCAAACAGGAUUAGAUACCCCGGUAGUC